AUGAAGAGGAGCAAGAAGCAUCAAUGUCCUCCCCAAAGCCCCAAGGGAGACUUAGGCAGUCCUGCUCAUCCCCGGAUCAAGAAAAAAAUGAUUGUUGAAGGUUCAGCAGAAGCAUCCACUGUGCACCAGAAUUUCGGAAAGCAAAAUAUCAAAAUCCAUAGAGAAGUCGCUCAAGCUAGUGCUGACAAAGUCUCCAAAUUCAAGUUGUUUCCAUUAACUUUGGUUGUCUCGGCCAGGCAGUGGUUCAAUAGUCUGUCGGAUGGAGCAUUGAAUCGUGGACUAAUUUUUGUGUGA